rnacentral:lncRNA from 1 species
AAAAUCCAAAAAUCCUUUACAUAUACAUACAUAGAUGAUUGAAACGUAUACAUUUUUUUCCUUUUCUAUUAAUUUUGUUGUUGUAUGAAUAUUUUUUCUAUCUUACUUUAUCUUAAACUGUAAUCCAAUUUAUAACCACACAAUAUUAACAUCUGUCCUUAAGCAUAGAAAUUUAUCUUCCCUAAUCCUAGUCCUUACACC